AUGGAGCUGAGAGAAUUUAACAAUCAAGUCCAUUCACCUCCAGAUUACCCUAGUCCUUCACUGAGGUUCCAGACAGUUCCAGACCAAGACACUAGUGCGGUUCAGUUUGAUUGGGCCUCCCCAACUGAAGAUGCUGAAGACUCCAAGGAACCUCGAAAUCUCCGUGAGCUGCCACUGCACAUGGGUCUGAAGAAAGCAUUAUGGCAGGUGCAGCAGAUGAGAGUUCCAGUUGUUUCUAGCUCUUGGAACGUCAAACAAUCACAGACAUUCCGCCGUUUCUGUGAGGUCGCCAAUUACAUUCUCAGCUAUUUUGUUCUGUGGAAGAGGGGAAUCCAAAAGAUAGGAGGUGAUGGAAAUAUGAAUUAA
rnacentral:lncRNA from 1 species